rnacentral:rRNA from 1 species
UUGGGCGUAAAGCGCGUCUAGGUGGUUAUGUAAGUCUGAUGUGAAAAUGCAGGGCUCAACUCUGUAUUGCGUUGGAAACUGAAUAACUAGAGUACUGGAGAGGUAAGCGGAACUACAAGUGUAGAGGUGAAAUUCGUAGAUAUUUGUAGGAAUGCCGAUGGGGAAGCCAGCUUACUGGACAGAUACUGACGCUAAAGCGCGAAAGCGUGGGUAGCAAACAGGAUUAGAUACCCUGGUAGUCCACGCUGUAAACGAUGAUUACUAGGUGUUGGGGGUCGAACCUCAGCGCCCAAGCAAACGCGAUAAGUAAUCCGCCUGGGGAGUACGUACGCAAGUAUGAAACUCAAAGGAAUUGACGGGGACCCGCACAAGCGGUGGAGCAUGUGGUUUAAUUCGACGCAACGCGAGGAACCUUACCAGCGUUUGACAUCUUAGGAAUGAGAUAGAGAUAUUUCAGUGUCCCUUCGGGGAAACCUAAAGACAGGUGGUGCAUGGCUGUCGUCAGCUCGUGUCGUGAG